rnacentral:sRNA from 19 species
UAAAUGGUGCGGGAUGGUAUACUAUACAAGCGUAUGGUUCAAAGAGAUACUUUGAAUUAAGAAGUACAAUAAAACUAUCUAAACUAGAUAAAAAGAAGAAAACAGCUUAUGUAGUACAUAAGUAUAAAUACUAUGGAGAGUGAGGUGCAAUAUGGGGGCAGCUGAUUUUUGGGGUUUCAUAUAUGUUGUUUCAAGAUUAGCCGUUGUUGCGGCAGUGGUUUACUUCUUAUAUUUAUUGAGAAAAAUUGCAAAUAA